UUGGCAGUAGGUAGAUGUCUGAGAACACCUUCUGGGAGGAAUACCUUGAUUCUCCACGAAGCAAACUCAGACUCAGACUUCUAUGACCUGAUAUUCUGUCUUUGCUUCCUGCCUUAGGUUUUUUGUGGUUUUUUUUUAAAUUUAUUUCGACUUCAGGCAAUUUGAAUAUUUUAUCAGUAUCAACAACAACAACAACAUCAAGCUGUAGGAUUCUAUAUCCUCAGUUGUCAACUCCUUAACACAGAGACCCAGGAGAUUAAAAGUGUACAAUCAAGGCUUGAACUAGUGUAUUUUCAUGGACUGUGCUUUCUGAGCCCAUUAAUAGUAAUGAUAUUAUAUGGUUCACUCUAGUCCUUUCCAUGGGCUGCUGCUCAUAUCAGAGCAAGUAAUAAAGAGGCAAAGCCCUCCUGGAUGGAAAUGCAUGGCCUCACUGGAAGGGGUUCAUUUUAAGUAAUGAGCAAUUAUGGAGGAUGCUUGGAAGAAUUACUAUGGUUCUUCAGUCAAGAAACCUGAAGGAUAGUCUGCUCUAGAGCUCUUCAGUCUUCAAGGAUUUCAUGAGUUUUCCAAAACUGCCUUCCCUUGGAUACUGUUAUCCAGAGGAAAUAAUAUUCUAGUUCUGUAGCACAUAUAAGUGAGGGUCAAAUCUUUUAGGGACCUAAUGCUUUCAGAACUAUCUAAAAAGGCAGGAAAUUUGUUUUAUUAGGUAGCCUUAGGUAUGUCAACCUUAAUAAUUUCUUCACCAGUUAACAGUUAUUAACAGUUAUUUCAUCCUUGUUGUUCCUAAUCAAUUCCUCCUCUAAAAUCACAAAUGGAUUCAACAGCUCUAUAUCCACAUGACCCAUGAAGCAGGCAGCAGGUAAUGAAGCAUUCACAAUGAAAGGUCACAAAAUAUUUUGUUUUAUUCCUUUUCUGGGUUUUGGUGUUUUUUAGAAAGUAUUCCUUGGAUUCUUAAGUAUUAUAUAGUAUUUUCUUCUUUAAAAGCAACAGUCUCAAUUUUUUAGGAAGCAUUUCAGCAUUGGGGAAGGAGGUAUCUGAGGAAACUGUUCAAGAGUAUAAAAUAUUUUUAUGUUUAUCUUUAUGUUAAAUGCAAAGAAAACAUGACAGUUCAACCUUGCAUUAUUUUUUCCAGAUCCCACUUUCAUAAGCUUUUAGAAAAAAAUAUAAACUCUAAGACUGAGAAGGUGUUUGUGAUAAUUUAGAAUAUUCUACUGCAUGGAAGGAGUUUCUGUAUGAAAAUGCAUCACUUAAAUUUAUUUAUUUGUUGCCUUUUGUUAAAAUCUCAAAUGAGAAAUAAUUUGUGAUACUGAUAAGGAUCUUCAGAAUUUUUUUGCAUGUGAUAGUUAAAAAAUAUAAUUAGUUUGUAAGUAAAGCUGACUGCCUCGUGUUUUCAUGCAGCAUGAAGGUAUUUUAUGUUUAUAAUAAUUGAAAGUAUAACAUUGUGAGUAAAUUUCAAUAUGCUUUUGUUUCUAAUGCCAGAACAGAGCUCAAAGGGAUGACAGAGUUUGCUGUGCUGUGUGGUUCUUUCUACAUCAAAUGGUGCUGUAUAAUAUAGUUUCCUGAACUUUGGAGAAGAAUGGAAAGCUUUAUGAAAACACAAAAUAGGAGAGAAAACUGUAGAAAAUAGUGCCACAAGGGCACUAUUUUGCAGGUAGAGAGAAUGGGGAAAGUGGAAUGCCACUAUGAUGGUCUUUUCUGUUUGAUGAUCACUGUUUUCCAUAAUUAUCACUUUAGUGAUAAUUACCUCUAGAGGUUGUCUGUUCCAACACCCUCUGCUCAAUGCCUGAUGUUACCGGAGACCCAAAAUGAAAAACUGUCCUUUCAAAAAUCUACAUAAUUUAUGACAUGUAAAUUUAUUGUUAAGCCUCUGAGGAGGUUUUUUUUUUAAUGCUGUUGCCAAAUAUCUUGUGCCCUUACAGAGGAUCAACUUCACCCAAAUGCAAGUUUUUGAACACUUAUAUAAAAUUAAGGUACAGAUUGAUACAACUUGUAACUUGUCCCUUCCAGAGGCAGAAACGGGACUCUCAAAUUAGCUGCAUACAGUAUAGUAAUUUUCAUUACGUGUUAUAUAUGGAGUCCCAUUUUUCUUUUGAUAAAGGUAAAGAAAAGUAUUGGUUUCAGGAAAAUGUGAAGUUCUUACUGCAGAGAAAACAGAGAUAAAAAGGGCAGAGGGAGCAAGAAGAGUUAUUAUGUAAAUUCCUGAAAAUUGGUGUUCACAAUCAACUUUGACCAUUCCUAUUAACAUCUAAGAACUUAUCAUGCAUUUGGUCAUCAGGGGUGCAAUUCAGGUGCCUACACCAUUUGCAUUUACAACCAUUCAGGCAGUCCCAGAGUACAGCUCUGUCUCCGCUUGCUCUUCCUUAGUUUCCUUUAAGUCCUAAGUCUCACUUGCUUGAUCUAAGCAGAAGUUCUAGAACAUCCUAUACAGAAAGAGAUGCAAACAGCACAACAUGGGAAAAUAUCUGACCUGGAACAGAAACAGAAAAAAAAUAUGCUGUCUGUAAGAAUAACUUGCUAUCAUUCUGGAAGUAAUUUUAAGGUUUUUAAUAUAAUUUUCUCUGUGUCUCUAGUAAACGGUUAGGGCUUGUAUUCUGUUGUCUUACAUAGAAACAACAAGCAAUGUGAAGUAAAUCUAUGAAUGCUUUAUGUUUUAGCAAUGAUAAGACAAAUGCAAAGAUUUCCAUCUUUGGCUGUGCACCAAAACCAAGCCUCUUCUAGAAAUUUACAGUCCUGGCCUGACUUUGCAGUGCAGACAGGUACCUACCUUAUCAAUGUUGGGAUUAUUUUUCUUUUUAUUGUAGGACCUUUAUACAAAAGGCAGAACAAACCACAAAGCUGUGUAAUGAAAUCAAAGUAUAUUUUCCAGCAGUAAGUCAGAAAAUCAGCUCAUGGGAACAGAUAUUUUUCUGUAGCUUUCACUGAGUCACUAAGUGUAUGACAAAGGAAACUCUUCUUUGUUCCAGGAGUUGACAUGACAGUAAAUCGUAAGUUUGUCUUCUCCUAAGGUUUAAAAUAAUUUUGUGUAGUAAGAAAAAAGAAGGUGAAGUAGAAACUAUCCUUUUAGGGUGAUGGAGAAAACACAGGUUUUGAGAUAUUUGUUAAACAUCAGAUAAAAAUAACAUGUCCUCAAGAAAAUCCUAGAUGUGACUAGAAGGAUUGGAUAUGAAAAUGUUUGCUCACUGGAGAAGUUAUGAUGGACUGAUUUCCACAGACAUGAUUUGAAACAAGUCAGGUUUGUGGGCCUUU